UAGGGAAUCUUCGGCAAUGGACGAAAGUCUGACCGAGCAACGCCGCGUGAGUGAAGAAGGUUUUCGGAUCGUAAAACUCUGUUGUUAGAGAAGAACAAGGACGUUAGUAACUGAACGUCCCCUGACGGUAUCUAACCAGAAAGCCACGGCUAACUACGUGCCAGCAGCCGCGGUAAUACGUAGGUGGCAAGCGCUGUCCGGAUUUAUUGGGCGUAAAGCGAGCGCAGGCGGUUUCUUAAGUCUGAUGUGAAAGCCCCCGGCUCAACCGGGGAGGGUCAUUGGAAACUGGGAGACGUGAGUGCAGAAGAGGAGAGUGGAAUUCCAUGUGUAGCGGUGAAAUGCGUAGAUAUAUGGAGGAACACCAGUGGCGAAGGCGGCUCUCUGGUCUGUAACUGACGCUGAGGCUCGAAAGCGUGGGGAGCAAACAGG
rnacentral:rRNA from 1 species